UCAAAAAAUAAUAAAAUAAUAAAAAUAAAAAAUAAAAAGAUCAAACCCCAGAUUUGUUCCACCUGGGUGCAUCCAGCCAGAGAAUGCCUUUCUCCUUUCCUUUUGUCUCUCAAGAGUGAAGAAAAUGUUUCUUUGAAGAUGUUUCCACCCCACUGCCUGUGCCUAAAACGAUCCUGGCAAACAGGACCUGCAUGAUAGGUUGAGCAGUGUGGUUAUUGUUUUUUUGUUAUCACUACUCGGGUUGGGGGUGCUACUGGCACCGAGAGGGUAGAAACCAGGGACGCUGCUUUCACACCCAUGCAUAGGACAACCCUCACCCUAAAGAAUGGCACAGUCCCAAGUGUCAACAGUGCUAAGAUUGAGGAAUCCCAGCUUAACCCACUCAUGAGACCACCUGAGCCUGGUGUAACGGUUCUGCUGUCAGUUUCUGGACCUUCAGAGGUAGAGACAUACAAGAACAAAACCAGGGUUCCAUCAGAAAGGAAAUCAGAAUGGUUACUGGGUGGAUAACCUACAGUGUUUGCUACAGACCUUCCAGAUGUAGCUUCUAGAUUAUAAACACUGGUAACACUGGAGGUGGUUAAAUCGGAAUUAGCUGGCUGCCAACCUUGGUGGCACAUUAGAAUCACCUGGGGAGCAGUUCAAAGGCCCAAGACUGGGCAGCACCACAGAACCCUCACAUCAGAAUCCCCGUGGGUGGGCCCAGACAGCAGCGUUCAUUUUAGACGCUAGUGUGCAGUCAAAGUCGAGAACUUCAUUCAAGAAGGCUUGUCUACUGCAGACCGUUCGACGAUGUAGUUCACCAAGUUCCAUGGGAUUCUUCCACGCCUGUGUCAACCCAGCUGACACCUCCAACUUGGACAAUCAGGGCUUUGGCCCCUGUUACCUGGCAUUCAACUCAAUCCAUGUGUCAUGCAUGCCUCAACAAUUUGAUUGUGUCCCAACUGUUUGAAAAUAAGGAUUUCUGAUCCCUCGGUAACCGGAUUCAGCUUCAGAUCCACCUGACAUUUUCCCUGCCUGUCCUGUGCCAGGUACGGCGCUAGGUGCUUUCACCUGUAUCAUCUCAUGCACUCCUCAGAGACGCUCGAAAGUUGUUGACAUUAUCAAAAGGUUUUCCAGCUGGAAUUCAUCUCCCUCUAAUCAACCUUCAAAACCUCCAUUUGUAAACCAUUGCUGUAGUUUUAUUAUCUCUUACCUUGGUCUUUACAAGCUGCUGUCAAAAACCCAGUAAGUGUUUCCAGAAAGAAACUUUAAAUAUUACAUAUCUUAAAGAUCUUUUAUGCAGAAUAUCCAGUUAAUUUUGAUGGGCUACGGAUAAUCAUCAGAAGAGCCAUUUCUGGAAACGUAAAUAAUAUGGCUGUUUCUUUUAACAGUGCGUUCUCCUGAAAAUGUAAGACCAUUUGACUGAUUCUGCUCCAGAAUCUUACUGAGGCAAAGGACUGGACCAAAUUCUUCAUGGAACAGAAGCCCAGGACUGCUGCAAGUGACCAGUAAUCUACCUCAAGGUACUGAAGCAAGGAAGAGCAUUUGUUGACACUUGGAAGCAGGAGUUUUGGGGUAAAUUCAGACAUUGCUGAAUCCAGAUGCUGAGAUUCAUCAGGAAUGGAUGCUGCCAGUCAACUCUACCAUCCUGUAUGAUGCCUUGGCCACCAUGUCCUCCCACCCAAGGGCAUCUGGGGGAUUUAUAUACCAACACCUGUCAAUCAUGGUUGGGGGCUGCUGCGGUCAAGAGGUGGGUUAGCAGUGGUGCUAAUUCCCUGGAACGGAUGGUAGCGUGAAAUCCUGCGGCAACAGAAAGCUCUCAAGCAAAGAAGUGCAGUUGCUGGAGGUCAGAUGUCAGGCCAGAGUUUACGGAAGUGACAAAGGCAGGACAGCCGUGUCCCACGUUUCCCGCCACUUUCCCAUGGUGACUGAGCUGCAGGGGUCCUGGGAGAGGGACGCUCACAAGGUCCCCGCACCAC